UCGUAACAAGGUUUCCGUAGGUGAACCUGCGGAAGGAUCAUUACCGAGUGCGGGCCCUCUGGGUCCAACCUCCCAUCCGUGUCUAUCUGUACCCUGUUGCUUCGGCGUGGCCACGGCCCGCCGAAGACUAACAUUUGAACACUGUCUGAAGUUUGCAGUCUGAGUUUUUAGUUAAACAAUAAUUAAAACUUUCAACAACGGAUCUCUUGGUUCCGGCAUCGAUGAAGAACGCAGCGAAAUGCGAUAAUUAAUGUGAAUUGCAGAAUUCAGUGAAUCAUCGAGUCUUUGAACGCACAUUGCGCCCCCUGGUAUUCCGGGGGGCAUGCCUGUCCGAGCGUCAUUGCUGCCCUCAAGCACGGCUUGUGUGUUGGGCUUCCGUCCCUGGUAACGGGGACGGGCCCAAAAGGCAGUGGCGGCACCAUGUCUGGUCCUCGAGCGUAUGGGGCUUUGUCACCCGCUCCCGUAGGUCCAGCUGGCAGCUAGCCUCGCAACCAAUCUUUUUAACCAGGUUGACCUCGGAUCAGGUAGGGAUACCCGCUGAACUUAAGCAUAUCA
rnacentral:misc_RNA from 1 species